rnacentral:tRNA from 1 species
GGAGGAGUCGCAUAGUUGGUCUAGUGCGGCCGCCUGCUAAGCGGUUACUGGUGUUUAAAGCCGGUCGAGGGUUCGAAUCCCUCCUCCUCCGCCA